GCGGGUGUGGCGUAAUUGGCAGACGCACUAGACUUAGUAUUUAGCUCCUUACGGCGUUGGGGUUCGACUCCUUUCACCCGAA
rnacentral:tRNA from 1 species